UAUGGGGUCGCACAGAGUCAGACACAACCGAAGUGACUUAGCAGCAGCAGCCAGCAGGUUAUGAAGGGGAUUCCUCAGCACGUUUUCCCACUGCUUUUUCCUCCUGUCCUUCAGCUCCUCUCUACUGGGACUUGAGCCUGGCCAAAACCCAAAGUGCCUGGUUUCAGGACCUAAUGAAGCUCAAACUCUUGAUGUCUCAUUGCAAAAAAUUCAGUGAGAGAGACAGCAAUAGGUAAGAGGUGAAUUGGUUCAAAUUCAGAGAGAAGCACAUGCCAAGAGUGUGGGCCAUCACAGAGGAGAGGCCAUGGAAUAUGAUGUUAGUUUUUGAGGGCUGGGUGAUUUCAUAUGCUAAUUGGUGGGAAGAUCAUUCCAUUGGGGAACCACCCACUCCUCCAUCUUUUGACAGUGACUUGGAACUGUCCUGGCACCUCUGGGUGUGUCAUUUAGCUUGCAGAUUGAGGAUCAAGGUUUAGUUGAAUUUGACUUGUCAUCUUGGACCCAUUUGAUUUUAAUCAGUUUAUGUUAUGCCCUUGGGCUAUGUCAUUCUUUCAAAAGUUGUGCCCUGCCCCCUUGCCUCCUGUUUCAUGAUCUUUUCCUGAGCCCCCUCCAGGCCCACAAUGUUGCCUCUACAAUCUUCUGGAGGGACAACCAGAAAAUAGCUGGCCCUUGGGUGAGAAAUACGAUGUAAUAUCCAAUCUCUCCAGAUAUUCAGGCCUUCAUCUUCCAUGUUUCCUACAACAUGUGCGACAACAGCACCUCUCAGUGGACCCAGUAGUGUGGGGGACAGGCACACAAUGCCUGCUAGAAGUCAUCUGUUGGUGGCAUCCCUUCCAAGGGCAGUUGGGCUUCUGGGGAUAAUGUUUGCCACUUUGGGAGUAGCCCUGCAGGCCGUUUGGGCCCAAACGGUUACCACCCUUCUCCUAAAGUUACAAACAUACCCCCAGAUUAAAUCUCCACUCCACUUUUGUGAACAUCUGGUUUGUUGCCUCUUAUCAAUUUGUUCUUAAGCCACUUACUAACUCCUACAACCAGGGCCCUGCCCCCUUGUAGGCAACAUUGUUCCACCCUGCUUAUUAAAAUACUCCUAAUGCCCCAAACAGGACCAGAUAACCCACUCCUUUGUCAUUACUUCUGUUAGUACCUAGACUGGGUCUAUGACAAUGAAAUGUUUACCAUUGGAGCCACCCUAAACUGCCCUUAUGAAAGACUAGGGGAAGAAAUCAGUGACUUACAUUCCCUUAGAGCAAUAAGGGGAUAAGUCUUAUGGCUGUUUCACCAGGUUCCCAGUCUCAAGGCACAGACCUGCAUUGCUUUACAUCAUGAUAUCUAUUCCUAUCCCUGGUGGACAAGCCAGCAAUGAGUUAAGAUUACAACCCCUUAAUCCUACCCAGCACUGGUCACACUGGAGACCUUGGGGAUGCCAACUCCAAUCCGGGGGUCCCAGGAGGUUAACCUGCCUCGACCCGCUUAGGGGUCUGGUCCUUGGGAGGUUGCCACGCCUCAGCCUGCUUGGGGAUCCUACAGUCCAGGGGUGCCAGGAGGUCGACAUGCCUCGACUUGCCCAGGGACCCAAUUCUCAGGAGGCCGACAUGCCUCGACCUGCCAGGGAUUCGAUCUCCAGCAGGUUAUCAUGUCUCGACCCGCAUGGGGAUCCGCAUCCUGACCCAGGGAUGCCUGGCUCUCAGGCUGCAACAAUACUGGGUAGGAUAAGCUUCGGAAAGACUCACCCCUAAGGAAGUGCACCCAUGGAAAUAGAAAGAAGCUUAUUAAUUGUGGGACUGUGCCUGGUCUCAGCAAUAACUUAGGAGUGCGAGGAGAACCCUAUUGCCUUUCUGGAAAGUCUAAAAGAGGCCCUCCAAAAGUUAACCAAUCUGGACUUAGACUCUUACAAGGGACAAGUGAUUUUAAAGGACCAAUUCGUGUCCCAAUGUGCAUUAUACAUCACAAUAAAGUUACAACAGCUAUGGCAGCAGGACUCUGCUGCCUCUUUAGAUGAAAUGGUCCAAAUAGCCACCAAUACCUUUUAUAACAGAGAACAGGAGAGGAAAGCCAAUGCCCAGGAAAAGGAGAAAAGGAAAGGGACAAGCCAUGCCCAGAUGCUGGCCGCCCUCCAGGGAAGCCCUAUGGCAAACCCCGAGUCCUUGAAGGACAAGGCAUGAGGCAAAUGCCUAAUCUGUAGACAGGUGGGACAUUGGGCCUAAGAGUGUCCAAACUAUGGCAAGUCUCUUAAAACAGCUUCCUACAAAUGCCAACGGUUGGGACAUUGGGCGGCACUCUGCCCUAGGGACCCAAGAGCCUCAAGGUCAAGCGCCAAGCCUUCCCUCAUGAUGAUUCAACAGGACUGAAGCAGCCCGCUCCACCAGCCCGCCUAUCACAGAUGACCAUUACAGGGCUGGAGCCAAGGGUGCAACUGGAUGUGGCAGAAACCUUCGACCACGGACAAAACCCUGAAAGGGACUGUCAGAAGAUCCUCUGACCAAUCCUGAGGAAAUUUGGUACAUUGAUGGAAGCAGGUCAACAAGAUACAACAUGCCGUGCCGGUUCAAAAAGGAUAUAUAAAACUACACCCAACCAUGGAAAAUAUCACUCACCCUUAGAUGGAGCAUACACCACUAUAAGGACUCUGAGGCUUGAGACUAGCAAGAGGGGGAGGCCCAAUACCCCUCGCC